GCGAAAGUGGCGGAACUGGUAGACGCGCAAGAUUUAGGAUCUUGUGGCCUGACGGCCGUGGGGGUUCGAGUCCCCCCUUUCGCACCA
rnacentral:tRNA from 1 species